rnacentral:rRNA from 1 species
GAUGAACGCUGGCGGCGUGCUUAACACAUGCAAGUCGAACGGUGAGGCAGAGCUUGCUCUGUGGAUCAGUGGCGAACGGGUGAGUAACACGUGAGCAACCUGCCCCUGACUCUGGGAUAAGCGCUGGAAACGGCGUCUAAUACUGGAUAUGAGCUGCGACCGCAUGGUCAGCAGUUGGAAAGAUUUUUCGGUCUGGGAUGGGCUCACGGCCUAUCAGCUUGUUGGUGAGGUAAUGGCUCACCAGGGCGUCGACGGGUAGCCGGCCUGAGAGGGUGACCGGCCACACUGGGACUGAGACACGGCCCAGACUCCUACGGGAGGCAGCAGUGGGGAAUAUUGCACAAUGGGCGAAAGCCUGAUGCAGCAACGCCGCGUGAGGGAUGACGGCCUUCGGGUUGUAAACCUCUUUUAGCAGGGAAGAAGCGAAAGUGACGGUACCUGCAGAAAAAGCGCCGGCUAACUACGUG